rnacentral:rRNA from 1 species
AUACGUAGGUGACAAGCGUUAUCCGGAUUUAUUGGGUUUAAAGGGAGCGCAGGCGGAGAUGCAAGCGUGACGUCAAAUUUCGGGGCUCAACCCCGUCUCGCGUCGCGAACUGCGUCCCUUGGUUGCGGGAAGGGGAGGCGGAACUCGUGGUGUAGCGGGGAAAUGCAUAGAUAUCACGAAGAACUCCGAUCGCGAAGGCAGCCUUCCGGCCCGUCAACGACGCUCAUGCUCGAAGGUGCGGGUAUCAAACAGGAUUAGAUACCCUGGUAGUCCGCACAGUAAACGAUGGACACCCGCGGUUUGGCCUGUAUGGCUGAGCCGCCAAGCGAAAGCGUUAAGUGUCCCACCUGGGGAGUACGCCGGCAACGGUGAAACUCAAAGGAAUUGACGGGG